CAAUAGCGUAUAUUUAAGUUGUUGCAGUUAAAAAGCUCGUAGUCGGAUUUUGGCUGAGAACGAACGGUCCGCCGUUAGGUGUGCACUGUUUGGUCUCAGCUUCCUGGUGAGGAGGUGUGCUUCACGGCCACUUGGUCACCGUGGUUACUUUGAAAAAAUUAGAGUGUUCAAAGCGGGCUUACGCUUGAAUAUAUUAGCAUGGAAUAACACCAUAGGACUCCUGUCCUAUUUCGUUGGUCUCGGGACGGGAGUAAUGAUUAAGAGGAACAGUUGGGGGCAUUCGUAUUUCAUUGUCAGAGGUGAAAUUCUUGGAUUUAUGAAAGACGAACUUCUGCGAAAGCAUUUGCCAAGGAUGUUUUCAUUGA
rnacentral:rRNA from 1 species